rnacentral:rRNA from 1 species
AGUGAACGCUGGCGGUAGGCCUAACACAUGCAAGUCGAACGGCAGCACAGUAAGAGCUUGCUCUUACGGGUGGCGAGUGGCGUACGGGUGAGGAAUACAUCGGAAUCUACUUUUUCUUGGGGGAUAACGUAGGGAAACUUACGCUAAUACCGCAUACGACCUACGGGUGAAAGCAUUGGAUCUUCUGACCUUUCGCUAUUUAAUGAGCCGUUGUCGGAUUAGCUAGUUGGCGGGGUAAAGGCCCACCAAGUCGACGAUCCGUAGCUGGUCUGAGAGGAUGAUCAGACACACUGGAACUGAGAAACGGUCAAGACGACUACGGGAGGCAGAAGUGGGGAAUAUUGGACAAUGGGCGAAAGCAUGAUCCAGCAAUACCGCGUGGGUGAAGAAGGAAUUCGGGUUGUAAAGCCAUUUUGUUGGGAAAGAAAAGCAGCAGGUUAAAACCACGCUGUUCUGACGGUAACCAAAGAAUAAGCAACGGCUAACUUCGUG